UGUAGAAAUAACAGCUUGGAGCGUGUACAAAAGCCAAGUCGUUUCUUUUCUUUAUGAGACAAUUUUUCUUCUUCAUCUAUGGAAUAAAUCAAUUAGUGAUUAACAAUGCUCCAAACACGAAAAACAUGCAAGCAAUCAUCCAUGAACUAAUGGCUGUCAUGCCCUCUACGUUUGGUGAAACGUUCGUGAUGGUGUUAAAGAUGUUGAUAAGGACAAGGAAUAAAGUCACAAGGAGUGCCAUGCGUCCAGGAACUACAUCUGGUGGGAUAAGAAAACUAACCCAAGAGACACCCACAAAUAGUCCACUGGGAAGGUAGUAGAUAUACAAAUACCUGAAUAUGGUUAGAUAAUGAUAAAUAUGCAAUUGCGAAAUAAAGACUAUUAAUUA
rnacentral:lncRNA from 1 species